GAUGAACGCUGGCAGAAUGCUUAACACAUGCAAGUCGAUGGGGAAGUGGUGCUUGCCCCAUGGUCACCCUGGCGGACGGGUGAGUAACGCGUAAGGAACUUGCCUGCGGGACUGGGCUAACAGCAGGCAACUGCUGAUAAUACCGGAUAACGUCUUUAAGCUGAAUCGCUUAGUGAUGAAAGGAGACGCCUGCGGGGAGCCUUGCGUCCUAUUAGCUAGUUGGAGGGGUAACGGCCGACCAAGGAGAAGAUAGGUAGCCGGCCUGAGAGGGUGGACGGCCACAAGGAGACAAAGAUACGGCCGUUACUCCUACGGGAGGCAGCAGUGGGGAAGAAUGGACAAAGGGGGCAACAGUGAGCCAGAAAUUCGGUGUGCACGAAGAGGGUUUUCGGAGUGUAAAGAGCUUUCAGGAGGGAAGAAGGAAGUGACGGUACCGGCAGAAGAAGCGACGGCUAAAUACGUG
rnacentral:rRNA from 1 species